UACAGAGGGUGCAAGCGUUAAUCGGAAUUACUGGGCGUAAAGCGUGCGUUAGACGGUUAUUUAAGUCAGGUGUGAAAGCCCCGGGCUCAACCUGGGAAUUGCAUUUGAGACUGAAUAGCUAGGGUGCGGAAGAGGGAAGCGGAAUUUCCGGUGUAGCGGUGAAAUGCGUAGAUAUCGGAAGGAACACCAGUGGCGAAAGCGGCUCCUGGUCCAGCACCGACGUCAGGCACGAAAGCGUGGGGAGCAAACAGG
rnacentral:rRNA from 1 species